rnacentral:rRNA from 1 species
GAGUGAUCUGUCUGCUUAAUUGCGUUUCAUAUUUACGAAUGUCGCUUACGUGAUUGCUGCAGACCUCGCGUCUCUUUAUUGAGUUGCGACGCGUCUCUUCAACUCACUCGCACAUUCUCUUGAACGCAACGAGCGUGACCGCAACCUCUUGUUGUGUAUACCAAGUGUGUCGUUGCUUGCAACUCACACUCCAAUGCACGUAUUUUGGUCACAUUGUCCGGCCGUCGC